rnacentral:lncRNA from 1 species
ACUAUCUAAAAGAUUAUCUUUAUUCCUGUAAAAACAAUUGCUUAUCUCACUUGAAAGUUAUCUAGAAUGUGAAUUAAUGGCCGUUAGCUGGAGAGUUGACAUACAUUCUAAUGUUCUCUUUCUAAUUAACAUCUUCAAAAAUUAUAUGAAGAAAAUCUUGCCUUUCAAAAAUUCUAGAAACAGUGAAUAAUAAAAAAUUCUCAGACGUAUCAUACAGUUUGAUUUUAAAUAUGAAUUUUGUUACAUGUUAUUUCUUAAACUUGGCAUAACUGACACCUUGGCUUUUGGUCAAAAAACUUUACUAUGUACUCAGGAGUUCAAAAUUUGUGAUCGAAACACAAAAUCCAGUAUUCUGAUAAGUUGAUAUAUUAGUCUGAAAAAAAAAUUGUGCUCAAAUUUUCUAUGACCCCAGGGCCCCACCUACAAAUGAUAGUACAGCUUUAUUACUAUGUCACAAGAAAACAUCAAACCAAAAAAAAACUCAUUCUGAUCAGUUUAUAACUGUUUUAUUGGUCAACUUUAUAUUAGUAUAUUGAUUGAUUUAGAGUGUUAUAUUUUGUAUAUAGCUCAAGACAGUGUAUUGACCUUUAGUUAGAUUAUCUUAUGGUUCUCAAUGUAUUUUGGUUGCUGUCUCUCUUGUGUAUACUACAUCUUCUUUUAUUCAUAUUUUAUAAGAAUUUAAAGUCAGUUGAAACAAUUAUAGGACUUAAAGUCUUGUUAUAUAAACUUAUUUCUUAUUAUAGAAUAUAGCUGUUGAAUGAAAUAAAAACUCUUAAAACAAAUAUGACAGUUUAUAGUGUAAUAAUGAAGUCUAGUCGGUACAAAAUAAUGAAAUUUACAAAGUGAUUUCUAAGCAGUCUUUUGUCCAUUUGAUUUGUAAAGAUGUCUGUAUAUAUAUAUAUAUAUAUCAGUCUGACAAGGAAACUACUUAUUUUGCAAGUUGAGAUAAAAAAAGUUCUUUCUGAAAUUAGUAAAAAUUAUAUUUUUGUCAUUGU